GCAUAUCAAUAAGCGGAGGAAAAGAAACUAACAAGGAUUCCCUUAGUAACGGCGAGUGAAGAGGGAGGAGCUCAAAUUUUAAAUCUAUCAUGUUUGUACAUGAUCGAAUUGUAAUUUGAAGAAGCGUUUUCUCGUACUUUAUGCAAUCAGUAUAAGUUCUCUUGGAACAGGACAUCAUAGAGGGUGAUAAUCCCGUCUGUUACUGGUUGUGAGGUUCGUUAUGAUACGCUUUCAAAGAGUCGAGUUGUUUGGGAUUGCAGCUCCAAAUGGGUGGUAAACAUCACCUAAGGCUAAAUAUUUGCGAGAGACCGAUAGCGAACAAGUACCGUGAGGGAAAGAUGAAAAGAACUUUGAAAAGAGAGUUAAAAAGUAUGUGAAAUUGUUGAAAGGGAAACGAUUGAAGUCAGUCGUGCAGUCAUCAAUUCAGCGGUUAACAUUUUUAUGUUUCCGUGUAAUUUGGUGUCUGUUGGUUAGCAUCAAUUUUGAUUGUUAUAAAAAGGUUAAGGGGAUGUGGCUCCUUCGGGAGUGUUAUAACCCUUAGCGUAAUGUGACGAUUAGGAUUGAGGUUUGCAACGAAUACCUUUUAGGGCAGUUUCCCUGGCCUCUCGUGGAAUUAUAGAUAGUUAAGAGCAUGCUUCUUACUGUCUAUGAUUCUACGAAAAGGUUAGUGUAAAACUAAUUCGUUAAGGAUGUUGACGUA
rnacentral:rRNA from 1 species